rnacentral:rRNA from 1 species
CCUACGGGAGGCAGCAGUGGGGAAUAUUGCACAAUGGGGGAAACCCUGAUGCAGCGACGCCGCGUGAGUGAAGAAGUAUUUCGGUAUGUAAAGCCCUAUCAGCAGGGAAGAAAAUGACGGUACCUGAUUAAGAAGCCCCGGCUAACUACGUGCCAGCAGCCGCGGUCAUACGUAGGGGGCAAGCGUUAUCCGGAUUUACUGGGUGUAAAGGGAGCGUAGACGGCAGCGCAAGUCUGAAGUGAAAGGCCGGGGCUUAACCCCGGGACUGCUUUGGAAACUGUGGGGCUAGAGUGCAGGAGAGGUAAGUGGAAUUCCUGGUGUAGCGGUGAAAUGCGUAGAUAUUAGGAGGAACACCAGUGGCGAAGGCAGCAUACUGGACUGUAACUGACGUUGAGGCUCGAAAGCGUGGGUAGCGAACAGGAUUAGAUACCCGAGUAGUC